rnacentral:lncRNA from 1 species
GGUGAAAGGGCUCCCGCACCGCCCGGUGCUCCCCAUCUGCCUGGCGUUGUGCGCAGAGCUGGAAAGCAUGGCUGUUGUAUGUAUUCUUGCGCCCGUGUGACAACAUUUAAACUUCUAAAAACGGAACCUCCUUCCGUGUUAGGAUUGCAAGUUAACCUAGGAAAAACAGCAUUCUGCAAAUUAUUUGCUGGAAAAUCUCGGUGACUUAAGGCCCAUGUAUUACUUUGCAGGGGUCUCUCACUCUAGUUUGCUGGUGUAGAUUUUUUAAAAAAUCCAUCUUAUCAAAAAAUACCGUUUAAGGUGGAAAAUUUCAAAUGCAAGUCGCAGUUGAUGAGAUUGCAAUUAAUAUAUUUAAGAUAGUGAAUUAGAGAAAAACUACAGAUAAAUGAAUUCUGAUUUUGGGGAGCAGAUGCCAACUUAGAGCCUCGUACCAAUCUCUCUGUCUUUAAAAGAUGAGGUGACUUGGUGAUUUUCCUGGAAAAUUAUAGGGAAGCUGGAGGACUGCAGUUUUGCAUCCUAUCCUGCCCUGAGCCUCACUUUGGGCUGUCAGCCAGCCUUGUCUCCA